GAUGAACGCUGGCGGCGUGCUUAACACAUGCAAGUCGAACGAUGAAGCCCAGCUUGCUGGGUGGAUUAGUGGCGAACGGGUGAGUAACACGUGAGUAACCUGCCCUUAACUCUGGGAUAAGCCUGGGAAACUGGGUCUAAUACCGGAUAGGAGCGUCCCCCGCAUGGUGGGUGUUGGAAAGAUUUUUCGGUUUUGGAUGGACUCGCGGCCUAUCAGCUUGUUGGUGGGGUAAUGGCUCACCAAGGCGACGACGGGUAGCCGGCCUGAGAGGGUGACCGGCCACACUGGGACUGAGACACGGCCCAGACUCCUACGGGAGGCAGCAGUGGGGAAUAUUGCACAAUGGGCGAAAGCCUGAUGCAGCGACGCCGCGUGAGGGAUGACGGCCUUCGGGUUGUAAACCUCUUUCAGUAGGGAAGAAGCGAAAGUGACGGUACCUGCAGAAGAAGCACCGGCUAACUACGUG
rnacentral:rRNA from 1 species